UAGCGUAUAUUAAAGUUGUUGCAGUUAGAACGCUCGUAGUCGGAUUUCGGGGCGGGUCGACCGGUCUGCCGAUGGGUACGCACUGGUCGACGCGUCCUUCCUUCCGGAGACCGUGCCUACUCUUAACUGAGCGGGGGCGGGAGACGGAACGUUUACUUUGAAAAAAUCAGAGUGUUUCAAGCAGGCAGCUCGCUCUUGCAUGGAUUAGCAUGGGAUAAUGAAAUAGGACUUUGGUGCUAUUUUGUUGGUUUCGAACACCGAAGUAAUGAUGAGAAGGGACAGUCAGGGGCACUCGUAUUCCGCCGAGAGAGGUGAAAUUCUCAGACCAGCGGAAGACGAACCACUGCGAAAGCAUUUGCCAGGGAUGUUUUCACUGAUCAAGAACGAAAGUUAGGGGAUCGAAGACGAUCAGAUACCGUCGUAGUCUUAACCAUAAACCAUGCCGACUAGGGAUUGGAGGAUGUUCACUGAUUGACUCCUUCAGCACCUUACGGGAAACUAAAGUCUUUGGGUUCCGGGGGGAGUAUGGUCGCAAGGCUGAAACUUAAAGGAAUUGACGGAAGGGCACCACCAGGUGUGGAGCCUGCGGCUUAAUUUGACUCAACACGGGGAAACUUACCAGGUCCAGACAUUGUGAGGAUUGACAGAUUGAGAGCUCUUUCUUGAUUCGAUGGGUGGUGGUGCAUGGCCGUUCUUAGUUGGUGGAGUGAUUUGUCUGGGUAAUUCCGUUAACGAACGAGACCUUAGCCUGCUAAAUAGUGACGCGAACACUUCGUUCGCGGGCCACUUCUUA
rnacentral:rRNA from 1 species